CCGCCACCUCGGCUCUCUCGGCUUCCCCACUCCUUCAGCCCCCUAUAAAAGAACCCUGCUCCUCUGAGCGGCGGGGCUAUUUUCCUCUUCUUCCCGGCUGGCCCACCUGGAGGCUCUUUCCUCUCAAUAAAGCCUGAACUUAAGACUUUCUAACCUGCGGUCCGGUUUUUUUCCCGAACGAGCUCAGUCCUCCCGCAGAGGGUAGGUCGGACAGAUAGGAGAUGUAAGGAGUCAUUACUUUCUUAGGUGAGAGAAUGGGACGUUGGCUGUGCAGAAGAACAUCCUGUUUCUUCAGAGACAUGCUGAGGUCGCCGAGGUGAACCUCGUGAUGUCUGCGUGAAGUGGCCCAGCAAAACAACAAAACAAAAAACCCAAAAAACAAAUAGUUAAGCGUGGACAACGGGUUAUUUCCAAACUUCCUCUAAAGCUGAGAUUGCUCCUGACAAAACAUUGAAAACGAGGAGUCUGACAAAAAGCUAUUAGCGGAUCACUCUGUGUUCAGAUGCUUCCAUAAGAGCCCUGCCUUUCCCAGUCGUCUGUCGGAGGGUGUGGGAAUGCUGGCCACGCCUCCUGCCUGUGCUCAGAAGGGCUCUGGCAUGGCCGUCAGUGUCACGGAUGCCCGCUGCUGUUCAGUGAUGGCGCUCGGGCAGGCAGGGACCAUCCCUGACUUCCCUCCCCAUCUGUAAUCUUUCUCCUUAAUUGGCAUCUUACUUGUGAAGUGAAAUCCACAUAAUGCUGGUUGCUCUGGGGCAGAGUUGGUUUGGAGACGUUGCUGGGGCAGCCAUGGGAGGCCACGCCCUGACCUUCCUGAUGGGAGGUUGCCUGGCCUGAAGUUUAUUUUGAAAUACAUGAAAGCAAGAUGGAUUGGUAGACAGAGGGGUGGAUGUGAUCAAUCGCCCCCUGCUAGCCUGUAGGAGAGGGUGGUGGGCAGGGACCUGGGAGACCAGUGCCUGCUGUGGGGACCCGGGCGUGGUGUGGAAGCAGGAAUGCCGGCAGCUCAGCACUGGAAGCAGCAGCCUCUGCCUCUGACCCACAGGGAAGGUGACAAAGCUGGGGCCGUGCUGGGGUCACCGUCUCCAGCCAGGGCCUGGGCUGCAUGAGCCCCGGAAACUCCAUGUUUCAGGAGUUACCAUUCCAUUUCCUAGGAAUUGAUUUUAUUUAUUUAUUUAUUUAUUAUUUUUAAUGGAGUCUUGCUCUGUGGCCCCGGCUGGAGUGCAGUGGUGCAAUCUCGGCUCACCGCAGCCUUCACAUCCCGGGUUUAAGCAAUUCCCCUGCCUCAGCCUCCUGAGUAGCUGGGAUUACAGACAUAUGCCACCCUGCCUGGCUAAUUUUUGUAUUUUUAAGUAGAGACGGGGUUUCAUUCACCAUGUUGCCCUGUCUGGUCUUGAAUUCCUGACCUCGGGUGAUCUGCCUGCCUCAGCUUCCCAAAGUGCUGGGAUUACAGGCAUGAGCCAUCAUGCCCAGCCUAUGAAGUAAUUUUAAAUUACCCACCUCACUUCUUGCUCAAGUUAUACAAGCCUUUCCUCACCCACAGCAAUUCCGUCUUUCAAGGAAAUUAGCCUGUAAAAUUUACCUCAAGCUGAGAGGCCUAGAAAAGUCUGUAAACGGUCAUCCCUUUUCAGGGGACAUUGGCACAGGCAGUGCCUGCUCUGGGGGCACGGAACAAGCUGAGCCAAAGGACCCACCAUGUGGCCAGAUCCCAAGAGCGUCACCUGGGUGCGGAGUGGACAGCCCUGCAAGCCUGGAGCUGCUGCCGGGGUGGGUGGACACCUCCGUCCCCAUGUCCCCAUUGUGUGGCGCCCAGGCCCUAGUGAGCACCCCACAGGGAGAAACCCGCAAUUCCAGUGGUUCCCAGGCUCCCCCAGCCUCUUUGAGACUUCAUGGAGCCAGGCAAAGAGGCCGGCUGGCCAGUUUUUCUAGAAAUUCCAUCAAUGCUGUGGAUGGGUCUCACUGAACCUACAGCAAAGUUCACCACGUCCAGGUGGACUGGAAGGGUGUUCGGGCAGACCCACCCCAAGAAAAAGAACAACAACGAAGACUCUGCCAUGCGGCAUCGGCAGCCAGUCGUCUAAAGCAAUAUUCCCUGUAAGAUGUCUCAUUUCGUCUUCAGAUUAAGGAAGGAUAAGAAAGGAUAGGAGUUCCUGAGUAGGAAACGUCCUCAGGAAGGAGGUUUUCAGCCGACCGUCCUGUCUGUUGUUUAUGUAUCCGUCCAUCUAUUCAGCCAUGCAUUCAUUUAUUUAAUCUAUUUAUCUGUCCAUCCUUAGUAACUGUUUUCAGGCAGACAAACCAAAUUAAUAAUAACCCUUGCUUCAUGUAGCACACUCACCAUUGGCCAGUACUGUGAGCUACUAGUUAGCUGUUUAUUCUGAUAAUGGAGAUGCAGCAUCUCUACCUCACUCACCCAAACAAAAGCCAGGAUUUGGGCCACAACCUACCUUAAACCACACAGCUCCACCCUGCUCCCACACAGUCCCCUGGCUCUUCACCCCCGCGUGACCAUCAUCCUAAAUCCCAUGUCCCUGCUCCCCCACUUUCACUUUUUAAAAAAUAGUUCUGCACCCAUAUGUAUUCCUAAAAAGUGUGUGUGCACGAACGAGCUUGACUUUACCAACCUGGUCUUGUACUUUCUGCAGUGAUUUUAGCCUUUCUCUUUGCAUUACGUUGCUGAGUUUCACCAUGUUAUGUCACCGCACUGCGUUCAUUUGGACAGCUACGUAAUCAUCCACCAUAUGACACAGUGCCAGAAACUGUGAAAGACUGAGAUUUCAGCACUUGUGAGCUGAUGCACCAGCCUGCAGUUUCACGGAUGCUGUAGGAGGCAUGCGAUUCCAAGGUCCGAGAAAAAAGGCUGUUACUCCUGUCACAGGCAGCAUGACAUCUGCAUCUUUAUGGCAGUUCCUCUUGUCUUCCAGUGCCAUAGGGUGAGUGCAUGGGCACAGGUGGGUGCCCCCACACACAGCAGGUGCAUUACAGAGAGGAACUCUGAGCUCAGAGGAUGCAAAUCUUCUAUCAUCGGCAGGAACGUGCCCACCUUUUGUUCCAGAGAGAAACUAUCUGUAUCUUUCAAGGCUGUUUGCUAUACAGUCAUUCUGGAAAAGACAGCUUUGGACAAAGCAGUUAUGUAACAACAUGAGAGACCCAUGGGGAAUUCGCUCCCAAUGUACACUACAGACUCUUCACGCUUUCAACAUGGAGGCACCACAGCCAACAGAACAGAGACAUCUCCAAGAUGCUCUUAAGUUUGCAGGUUUCUGCGCAGGAGGUGUAAAGGCUCUGGGCUGAGCUGUGCUGUGUCAAGGAGCAGCUCUGCAGCAGACACACAGGGGCUUCUAAGUCAGCCGACUCCACAGUCUGUAAGAGCCAUUUCCUCCAUUCCGUUCAAUACCACAGCGACAGAGGAAGCCAACGUGUUUCUUUCCACCUGCUCCUCCCCCUGCACUUCCAGGGGCUCACAGUGUGUGGCCGCUGCGUGCCCUCUGACUGAGUGUGCAUGUCCCUCCAAACCUCCCACGCUGAAGCCCCAACCCCCAGUGUGAGGGUCUUUGAAGAUACAGAAAGGAGGUGGCUGCCCGCAAACCAGGAAGAGAGCCCUCGCCACCCAGUAAAUCUGCCAGCACCUUGACCUUGACUUCCCUGUCUCCAGAACGGUGAGAGAGAAAUUGAGCCACCCAGGCUGUUCUACUAACCUGGGCUGACUUCCAGACCGUCCACCGCGAGCUCUCAAACCCAUCCUGAGGACACACUUUCCAGGCCACCUCUGCCAUGGGCUCCUUUAGCCUGGGUUCCCCCGGAUGGCAGAGCUGGGGUCAAGGGGCUGUGUGAAGGUGGUUGAUUUGGGAAGGGAGGCAGCAGAGGGAGCAGCAGAGGGGGCUGGGAAGUAUGGAGCGGGCAGGGAGGAAGAACAGAGCAGGCGGGUGCUGCCAGGCUGGCCACACUGUUGGUGACGGGCCUCAGGGGAGCCCUGUCCACCAUGCAGGGGGGUGGGUGCAGUCCCGUUACUCAUGGGUGUCCAAGCAUUGCCACAGGGACUGUUGAAGGCCUCAUGCGUCCAGUCUGGGGAUCCUCCCCCCCGCUACUUGGGGAAUGCCCCAGAGAAAAGUGAGGGAGACGCAGGGCCUCAGAGAGCAGCUCUGUGACACUGACCACCAGGGCAAGGAUGAGAACACGAGGUGGGCCUUGAGGGGUUGGGGCAGACCCACAGCGGUGGCCAGUCACCUGCAGUGACUUUCUCCCAGCCCCACUUGGCUGGUUUCUGUUCCCUUCAGCUCUCAGAUGGCCGACUGCCCAGUACACAGGGAGGCUCUGUUAUUCUUCUUGGGGUUCCUUCCCUCAUGCUCCCCCCUCCAUAAUUUGUAGCUCCAGUGUGGUUUACCUGUUGACUGUCUUUCCUUGAACUACAAGUCCAACUAGCCAGAGACCCGUACUGAUUGUACAUUCACCACCACACGAGUCACCCAGCAGAGCAGCUGACAGUUAAUUCACCCGUGGGAUGGAGAAAACAGCACCUUUGCGCAAGCUCCGCAGGCCCACUGUGGCCACAGCGUCCACCCUGCCUGGCGCCCCUCUUCCUCUCCCCUCCUGGGACCAGCUCCGCAGGCCCACUGUGGCCACAGCGUCCACCCUGCCUGGCGCCCCUCUUCCUCUCCCCUCCUGGGACCAGCUCCGCAGGACCACUGUGGCCACAGCGUCCACCCUGCCUGGCGCCCCUCUUCCUCUCCCCUCCUGGGACCAGCUCCGCAGGCCCACUGUGGCCACGGCGUCCACCCUGCCUGGCACCCCUCUUCCUCUCCCCUCCUGGAAUAACACCGAACACUCCACUUUCUCCAUGAGGCUCCCAGGUCUGCAAGGCCCUGUUACUCUUCCCUCUUCCAGUGCUGAGGAUGCUCGGGGGUUCCCAUCGAUGGCAUUUCUGUCCAUACCAGGGGCUGUGACUUGAGGGUUCACUGCUUUCCUCCAAACACAGCAGGCAUUCCAUCUUUACAACCAGCCUGGGCUCUACGUGAAAUGUCUCCCCAGCCUCCGAGUAAAUUGGGAAGUGCAGGCAGAUCCCAGGCAGCAGCAUGCAAGACAGAGAGACGACACUCUCAGCCCACACUUUCUCGUGCUGGCAAUGAAUGGGCAGCAGCUAAGCCUUUCUAAGGAUGUUACAGCAGUGCCCAGCCCUGACCCCUGAGGGGUGGUGCCGCCAUUCCAGGAACAAGCGCUGCUGCCUGAGGCACCGGCAGACGGCCUGCACCUUCCCCACAGGCCCAGUCCCACGGGUCCUCCAGAUGGAGCCACGCAUAGGCACCUACCAUGUGGUGCCAGCCCUGGAAACGCAGGGGGAAUCGAGUUUCUGCACAUGGUGCAGAGUUUCCUUACCCGCCACACUUCACUGGCCUCACCCAUCUUCCUGUGAAGGCCCCUUCGUGUCCAAGCCCGUUUUGGUCCUAGAAUUCCCUCCAAGGUGCACACUGCAUGUAGGUGUCCUGUCUCUCUGGCAUCCUCCACCCAUGAUGAGUCCCCGGCCUUUCCUUGUCAUGACCUGGACCAUUUUGAGGUGUGCUGGCGACGUGUUGUGAAGAACGUCCCUCAGUCUGGGUUUGUCUGAUGUGUUACCCAUGGUGAGACUGGAGUUAUGGGAAGACGUGCCCUUCCCAUCACAUCCUUCCAAGUGGUGCCCGGUACCCACGCGAACUCCUGGCAACAGACCAUCCUCAGAAUAAUCUGGCCCACUUCUAACAGAGCCAGGGUUCUGCCAUCCCAAGAGCUCCCUGCCUGGACAGCUCUGUGACCAGGUUGGUUGGACACUUUCAUAAACGGCAGAAUGGAGAACCCAAGUGACGUCUUGCUGAGUGAUUCCUGGAGGAGGCGGAUGAUGCAGGAUGGCUUCCCACGUGCUUGCUCGCUAUGCUGGUGGAGUGAGCGUGUGCUCGCAGCCAGAUGGGCCGGGGUUCAAAUCUUAGAUGGAGCAGAUCCUUAUCAAAGUGAGGUUUAAUUUCCUUACCCACAAGUGGAAAUACGACGUACGCCUCACAGAUGAUGGCAGGAUUGGAAAUCACAGCUGCAGUGUCCAGCAGCCCAUGGGCCCAGAAGGGAGGCAGUGAGUUCUGGUGGUGCUCAGGCUGAUGGCUGUGAAUAAGUGGGGGAAUAACAUGGAGAGAAGCUGUAGGUGGAGCGCUCACCUCAGCCCUCUGGCCAGGGGAAGCUUCGUAUGUUAUUUACAUAUUUUUAUCUCUGGAAAACUUUUCAUAUGGUAUGUUUUAUCUUCCCCCAAAGACUGUACAGUCUGAAUGAUAACAGCCAGCAGGUAUGGGGUCCGCCUCGAGGUCGAUGUUAAAACACUUCGCUUGUUUUUCCCAUUAGGUUUAAUUCUCACAACAAUCUCAGCAGGUAAGAGCAAUGAUUAGCGCAGUUUGCAGAUCAGGUGAGGGGGAAUGAAUCCUCCGUCUGUGCGUAUUUUCUCCUCUCCACCUUCUGUCCCUCGACCGUUCCUAAUACUCAUCAUUAACAUCCUUCACGAGGCAUCCACUUUUCUGGGAAGGAUACUUUGCACGAAGCAAACCAGGAACACCUCCUCCUGGCCCAGCUCGUGGCUCCUUGGCACACCAGGACCUGUCCUGAUUGUGGCUAAUGUGUGAAUUCCCUGAGGACAGGGGCUGUGGUGGGGUUCCCGCCAGGCUCCCACCCCACCAGAGGGCCUGGCGCACAUAGGCCCUAAAUAGACCUUUUGAAUGAAUGUGUGGAGGACCUGGGUUAUGGCAGCGGACCCAGACAGGAAAGGGUGGACCCAGACCUCGGCAGGGAGAAUGGAGCGACCCCGUGACAGGAAGGGGGUGACGGCAAGGACACAGGGACAGCGAUGGGAGGCCUCUGUCAAGCCAGGACUAGUCUGUGGUUAAGAGAAGCUUCCGGGUAGAGGGUCCCAGGGCAGGCAGGUGAAACCCGAACCUAGAGUACUGCCGCGUCAACAAAAACGUUAGCAAAUACUGCUGUGCUCCGUCAGGAAGGACGCUGGGAGCAGCAGAGCUCGUCUUCCCAUCGAUAUCUGCACCUGGAAAUCUAUACAUUCUUUUCAUUGUCAAACUUGAGAAAUAAAUGCUAAAGUGAGUGAGAGUCCAGGAGGCAAUUACUAUUCUCAUGUGUACAAAGAGAUUUUUCACAAAAAGCCUGAUAAAGGAAAAUAUUUGAGUUUUAAGUUUAAAAAUAAA